CACGCCCUAAACGAUGAAUGCUAGGUGUUGGUUGGUUACAAUCAGUGCCGUCGCUCACGCAUGAAGCAUUCCGCCUGGGGAGUACNGCGCAAAACCUUACCAGCCUUUGACAUGCCUUCUGUAGGCCUGAGAGAUCAGGUUUUUCGGUUUGGCCGGGAAGAGCACAGGUGC
rnacentral:rRNA from 1 species